CCCCCGGGCAUACCCCCGGGAAUUUGGAUUUUGACGUUUUGGUCAGGUCAAAUUCCCUACAUAUAUUUGUAAUUCCCGUUCAAAUACACCACGUAUUGGGAAAAAUUGUGUCACUCGUGUCGUCCGUUGUCCAGUCUUGUGGAUAAAAUGUGUUGUAAAUAAUGUAAUGUUGGGUUUUUUUGUUUGUUUUUUAUAUAUACAUAUGUACAUAUUAUUAGGGACCCUGUAAAUGGAGC